GCCAGGCGUGGUGGCGCACGCCUGUAAUCCCAGCUACUCGGGAGGCUGAGGCAGGAUAAUUGCUUGAACCCAGGAGGUGGAGGCUGCAGUGAGCAGAGAUCAUGCCACUGCACUCCAGCCUGGGCAACAGAGCAAGACUGUGUCUCAA
ensembl:misc_RNA Metazoa_SRP Metazoan signal recognition particle RNA